UUAAGUAUGGUUUAUUAGAACAUAAGACCAGAAAAGAAAAAUAUAUAUACAUAAGGUCAAAGAAACAGCAGAAUCUUGAAAGUCUUUGAUAUCACUACCCACAAGGCAGUGGGAGUCAUCAAACGGUGUUUUUUUUUUUUUUUUUUUUUUUUCUCAUUUUGUUUUUUUUUUUUUUCCCCCUGUCAUUUUAUAGUCCAGGCUAAUAGAAAAUGUAAUCCUCCUGCCUCAGCUUCCUGAAUGGUGGGGUUCAGAAAACCGUUUUAAACAGGACAAUGAUGCCAGAUUUAAGUUUUAGAAAAAAAAAUCACUUCUGGAUAAUGAAGAAUUUAAUCGAAGGUGCCAGGCAGAGAGGCCAUGUGGGAAGGCCAAAUGGGGAUUGUGGCUUGCAUAUCAGGGGCAAGGUAAAUGAGUCAGGAGAGUACCCGGAGCAAGUUUGAAUGUGCACCCAAAUGUGCCAAGAAGCCUCCAGAGAAUUCAAGCUCACCUAAGCAAUGUUUAUAUUCAUUUUCAGAGGGAGUGUUAGUGUUGGAAGAGCUCUUGAAAACUCAGAACCUUCUCCCCUCAACUUCAUAGAGAAAGAAAAGCCCAGAGGCAAAUUUGCUUGCUCAGGGUCAGACAACACAUUAGUCAGUGGCAGAACAUGUCUGUCUAUAGUUACAAAGCCUCACCCAUCCUCUAGUGAGACUAACCGGCUGGAGGUGCUGUGCCAACAGGAGUAGAUCUGAGGAGCUGGAAAAACAUUUGAAGGGAUUGGAUACAGUUUCUUCUGCUUUACCACUAGCAACUCCAGGGAUAGUUCUUUCCUGCAGAACACUGUGCUAAGAGAAGCAGAUACAGACGUGUGCAGUAGGAGUGCCUAUCUGCUCCCAACAUCCCCACUCCAGCCUAGAAAGGGAGUAAAGGGCAGACAGUAGCCCCGUCCUUCCCUCCCACGUGGUUUCUCCAGCCAAGUUCUCACGGAGUGGCCCCUCCUUCAGCGGCUCCACUGUUACCAUGGCAAUUGGGUGGGUGGACAGCACGUCCUAUCUAGAGGCCAGCAGCCCUCGCGUGGGGAGUUACCAUAACAACCCCCCUAGUAAUAGAGGGGGUUGGGUCCCGCCUCCCUUCCCCCGCAAAUCGAGAGGUAGGUGGUUUGAUUGGCAGCUGGGCACACGAAAGAGGGAAAGGGAAGAAAAGGAGUCAAAUAAAGAUCAACGAAGGAACUAGAGGAGAGGAGGCAACAAUAAUAAAAGGGGGAAAAGGAAGGGAAGGUGUAUGCGCACGCGCACCAGCGGGUGGUCGCGCUCCUUCCACUCCAGGCUCUAGCGAGACUGGGUCCGCGCUCGCCCUCCGCCCGCUCUCCUGCGCCUGCGCGCAGGUGUCGGCGCCCCGCAGGAGGGGGCGCCCGGCGCGUUCGCGUCACGGUCGGCUCUGCGCGUGCGCAGGGCAGCCGGCGACUCGGGUUGCAGGCGCGCGGGUGAGAGCGCCUGUCAGCCGCUGGGUCGGUCCUCCCGCUGGCCCUCCCCCUCCCCGGCCUUCGGGGCAGGCGCGGUGGAGCCCGCCCCUCGAGUCCCCCGAUGGGGGAGAAGCGGCGACGGCGGCAGCGGAGUGAGCGAGCCGGAGCGUGAGUGGCCCCGCGGCGGCCAUGGGCGACCCAGCCCCCGCCCGCAGCCUGGACGACAUCGACCUGUCUGCCCUGCGGGACCCUGCAGGAAUCUUUGAGCUGGUGGAGGUGGUUGGCAAUGGAACCUAUGGACAGGUAUACAAGGGGCGGCACGUCAAGACUGGGCAGCUGGCUGCCAUUAAGGUCAUGGAUGUCACAGAGGAUGAGGAGGAAGAGAUCAAACAGGAAAUCAACAUGUUAAAGAAGUACUCUCACCAUCGCAAUAUUGCCACCUACUAUGGGGCCUUUAUCAAGAAGAGCCCUCCUGGGAACGAUGACCAGCUCUGGCUGGUGAUGGAGUUCUGCGGUGCUGGUUCAGUGACCGACCUGGUAAAGAACACAAAAGGGAACGCACUGAAGGAGGAUUGCAUUGCUUACAUCUGCAGGGAGAUUCUCAGGGGUCUUGCCCAUCUCCAUGCCCACAAGGUGAUCCACAGAGAUAUCAAGGGACAAAAUGUGCUGCUGACAGAGAAUGCUGAAGUCAAGCUAGUGGAUUUUGGGGUGAGUGCUCAGCUGGACCGCACUGUGGGCAGGCGGAACACUUUCAUUGGAACCCCAUACUGGAUGGCUCCAGAAGUCAUUGCCUGUGACGAGAACCCCGAUGCCACCUAUGACUACAGGAGUGACAUUUGGUCUCUAGGAAUCACAGCCAUUGAAAUGGCAGAGGGAGCCCCCCCUCUGUGUGACAUGCACCCUAUGCGGGCCCUCUUCCUCAUCCCUCGGAACCCUCCCCCCAGGCUCAAGUCAAAGAAAUGGUCUAAGAAGUUCACUGACUUCAUCGACACGUGUCUCAUCAAGACUUACCUGAGCCGCCCACCCACCGAACAGUUACUCAAAUUCCCCUUCAUCCGAGACCAGCCCACGGAGCGGCAGGUCCGCAUCCAGCUCAAGGACCACAUCGACCGCUCGCGGAAGAAGCGGGGUGAGAAAGAGGAGACAGAGUAUGAGUACAGCGGCAGUGAGGAGGAAGACGACAGCCAUGGAGAGGAAGGCGAGCCAAGCUCCAUCAUGAAUGUGCCCGGUGAGUCCACACUGCGCAGAGAAUUCCUCAGACUCCAGCAGGAGAAUAAGAGCAACUCUGAGGCUUUAAAGCAGCAGCAGCAGCUGCAGCAACAGCAGCAGCGGGACCCGGAGGCACACAUCAAACACCUGCUGCACCAGCGGCAGCGUCGCAUAGAGGAGCAGAAGGAGGAGCGGCGACGUGUGGAGGAGCAACAGCGGCGAGAGCGAGAACAGCGUAAGCUACAAGAGAAGGAGCAGCAGCGGCGAUUGGAAGACAUGCAAGCCCUACGACGAGAGGAAGAGAGGCGGCAAGCAGAGCGGGAACAGGAAUAUAUCCGUCACAGGCUAGAGGAGGAGCAGCGACAGCUCGAGAUCCUUCAGCAACAGCUGCUCCAGGAACAGGCCUUGCUGCUGGAAUACAAGCGGAAGCAGCUGGAGGAGCAGCGGCAGUCAGAGCGGCUGCAGAGACAGCUGCAGCAGGAGCACGCCUACCUCAAGUCCCUGCAGCAGCAGCAGCAGCAGCAGCAGCUCCAGAAGCAGCAGCAGCAGCAGCAGCAGAUCCUGCCUGGAGACAGGAAGCCCCUGUAUCAUUACGGUCGGGGCAUUAAUCCUGCUGACAAGCCAGCAUGGGCCCGCGAGGUGGAAGAGAGAGCACGGAUGAACAAGCAGCAGAACUCUCCCUUGGCGAAGGCGAAGCCAAGCAGUGCGGGGCCAGAGCCCCCCAUCUCCCAGGCCUCUCCUAGCCCCCCAGGACCUCUUUCCCAGACUCCUCCUAUGCAGAGGCCUGUGGAGCCCCAGGAAGGACCGCACAAGAGCCUGGUGGCACACCGGGUCCCACUGAAGCCAUAUGCAGCACCUGUACCCCGAUCCCAGUCCCUGCAGGACCAGCCGACUCGAAACCUGGCUGCCUUCCCAGCCUCCCACGACCCUGACCCUGCUGCUGUCCCUACACCCACUGCCACACCCAGUGCCCGAGGAGCUGUCAUCCGCCAGAAUUCAGACCCCACCUCUGAAGGGCCAGGGCCUAGCCCAAACCCUCCAUCCUGGGUUCGGCCUGAUAAUGAGGCUCCACCUAAGGUUCCACAGAGGACCUCUUCUAUCGCCACUGCCCUUAACACCAGUGGGGCCGGAGGGUCCCGGCCAGCUCAGGCUGUCCGUGCCAGACCUCGCAGUAACUCCGCCUGGCAAAUCUAUCUGCAGAGGCGGGCAGAGCGGGGCACCCCCAAGCCUCCCGGGCCCCCAGCUCAGCCCCCUGGCCCGCCCAACGCCUCUAGUAACCCUGACCUCAGGAGGAGUGACCCUGGCUGGGAGCGCUCAGACAGUGUCCUCCCGGCCUCCCACGGCCACCUCCCUCAGGCUGGCUCCUUGGAGCGGAACCGAAACCGUGUGGGAGCCUCCACAAAACUGGAUAGCUCUCCAGUGCUCUCCCCUGGGAACAAAGCCAAGCCUGAAGACCACCGCUCAAGGCCAGGCCGGCCCGCAAGCUAUAAGCGAGCAAUUGGCGAGGACUUUGUGUUGCUCAAAGAGCGGACUCUGGAUGAGGCCCCUAAGCCUCCCAAGAAGGCCAUGGACUACUCCUCAUCCAGUGAGGAGGUGGAAAGCAGUGAAGAGGAGGAGGAGGAAGGCGAUGGGGAGCCGUCAGAGGGGAGCAGAGACACUCCCGGGGGCCGCAGUGAUGGUGAUACAGACAGCGUCAGCACCAUGGUGGUUCAUGAUGUUGAGGAGAUAUCCGGGACCCAGCCCUCAUAUGGCGGCGGCACCAUGGUGGUCCAGCGUACUCCUGAAGAGGAACGAAGCCUGCUGCUUGCUGAUAGCAAUGGCUACACAAACCUGCCUGAUGUGGUCCAGCCCAGCCACUCACCUACUGAGAACAGCAAAGGUCAAAGCCCUCCAACAAAGGAUGGAGGCAGUGAUUACCAGUCUCGUGGGCUGGUAAAGGCCCCAGGAAAGAGCUCAUUCACCAUGUUUGUGGAUCUAGGGAUCUACCAGCCUGGAGGCAGUGGGGACACCAUCCCUAUCACAGCCCUAGUGGGUGGAGAAGGUGGUCGCCUUGAUCAACUGCAGUUCGAUGUGAGGAAGGGCUCUGUGGUCAACGUCAAUCCCACCAACACCCGAGCUCAUAGUGAAACUCCUGAAAUUCGCAAGUACAAGAAGCGAUUCAACUCAGAGAUCCUAUGUGCAGCUCUCUGGGGGGUCAACCUCCUAGUGGGCACAGAGAAUGGGCUGAUGUUGCUGGACCGAAGUGGGCAGGGCAAGGUGUAUGGACUUAUUGGGCGACGACGCUUCCAGCAAAUGGAUGUCUUAGAAGGGCUCAACUUGCUCAUCACCAUCUCAGGGAAAAGGAACAAACUGCGGGUAUAUUACCUGUCCUGGCUUCGGAACAAGAUCCUACACAAUGACCCAGAGGUGGAAAAGAAGCAGGGGUGGACCACCGUGGGGGACAUGGAGGGCUGCGGCCACUACCGUGUUGUGAAAUAUGAACGGAUUAAGUUCCUGGUCAUUGCCCUGAAGAACUCCGUGGAGGUUUAUGCCUGGGCUCCCAAACCCUACCACAAAUUCAUGGCCUUCAAGUCCUUUGCUGACCUCCCUCACCGCCCUCUACUGGUGGACCUGACAGUAGAGGAGGGACAGCGGCUCAAGGUCAUCUAUGGCUCCAGUGCUGGCUUCCAUGCUGUGGAUGUUGAUUCUGGGAACAGCUAUGACAUCUACAUCCCUGUACAUUCCACCUUCUUCUCCCUAGAUCCAGAGCCAGAUCACACCCCACGCCAUCAUCUUCCUCCCCAACACUGAUGGCAUGGAGAUGCUGCUGUGCUAUGAAGAUGAGGGUGUCUAUGUCAACACUUACGGGCGGAUCAUCAAGGAUGUGGUGCUGCAGUGGGGAGAGAUGCCCACCUCUGUGGCCUACAUCUGCUCCAACCAGAUAAUGGGCUGGGGUGAGAAGGCCAUAGAGAUCCGCUCUGUGGAGACAGGCCACCUAGAUGGGGUCUUCAUGCACAAACGAGCCCAGAGGCUCAAGUUCCUGUGUGAGCGCAAUGACAAGGUGUUUUUUGCCUCUGUCCGCUCUGGAGGAAGCAGCCAAGUUUACUUUAUGACUCUGAACCGUAACUGCAUCAUGAACUGGUGACGAGGCCCCUGGGCUGGGGCUCCCCACAUGGACCCAGCUCUCUUCCCACAGCCAGACUACCCAGGCCGCCCCUGCCCUCCCACCCCCUUGGGCUUUUGCUUUUACUGGUUUGAUUCACUGGAGCCUGCUGGGAACGUGACCUCAUAUCCCUGAAGCUUUCGUGAUCACGUGACCACCCUUUCCCCCAACAUUCUCAAAACUGUGCCUUUCCCCAACUUGUGGGGAAUGACACAGCUUCCUUCCCCUUACCAGGAAUUGAGUGGGACUUGCUCCUCCCCUUUUCUCCACAGAAGAGGAGAGCGCUUGGGGCUUGGACCCCUUACCCCAUUGCUGCUGAAUGAGCAGGGCCCUGACCCCUUUAUUUGCACGCCAGGGGAGCCGGCUCCCCCCUUGAAUGUACCAGACUCUGGGGGGGGGGUGUUCACUGGGCCCUGGGUUCUGGAGGCGGGGCGGUCACCAGCCACUCCAGGGGCAGGGACCAUUCCUCAUUUUCUGAAAGCACUUUAAUGAUUCCCCCCCAACCCCCAGGGAAUGGAGGAGGGACCCCAUAGCCAAAACAUUCCCCCCUUUCCUCCCCACUCCCACCCCUUCUAGCCUCUCCCCUUCCCUAGAAGGAGAGAGCUCAGAGCUCCCAGCCUUUAUCCUCCCUUGCUUGCAUCUGUAUAUAGUGUGAGCAGCAAGUAGCCCUUCUCCCUCCUGUAUCCUUUCUCAAUGUAGUGGCCUUGGAUAUAUCCCCUUUGUUAAUAAAGACAAUUCAACCAGCUUCCA